rnacentral:snRNA from 1 species
CAGAUUAUUAUAUGCCUGGUAUG